AGCAGCCGCGGUAAUUCCAGCUCCAAUAGCGUAUAUUAAAGUUGUUGCAGUUAAAAAGCUCGUAGUUGAAUUUCGGGAUCAAUAUGUUGGUCGUGCCUCGGUACGUACUAGCUUAUUGGUUUCUCCUUUCUGAAGAACCAUGAUGUCAUUUAUUUGGUGUCGUGGGGAAUCAGGACUGUUACUUUGAAAAAAUUAGAGUGUUUAAAGCAGGCUCACGCUUGAAUACAUUAGCAUGGAAUAAUGAAAUAGGACGUUUGAUUCUAUUUUGUUGGUUUCUAGGAUCGACGUAAUGAUUAAUAGGGAUAGUUGGGGGCAUUAGUAUUCAAUUGUCAGAGGUGAAAUUCUUGGAUUUAUUGAAGACUAACUACUGCGAAAGCAUUUGCCAAGGAUGUUUUCAUUAAUCAAGAACGAAAGUUAGGGGAUCGAAGACGAUCAGAUACCGUCGUAGUCUUAACCAUAAACUAUGCCGACUAGGGAU
rnacentral:rRNA from 1 species